rnacentral:rRNA from 1 species
GAACGCUGGCGGCGUGCCUAAUACAUGCAAGUCGAGCGAACGGACGAGAAGCUUGCUUCUCUGAUGUUAGCGGCGGACGGGUGAGUAACACGUGGAUAACCUACCUAUAAGACUGGGAUAACUUCGGGAAACCGGAGCUAAUACCGGAUAAUAUUUUGAACCGCAUGGUUCAAAAGUGAAAGACGGUCUUGCUGUCACUUAUAGAUGGAUCCGCGCUGCAUUAGCUAGUUGGUAAAGUAACGGCUUACCAAGGCAACGAUGCAUAGCCGACCUGAGAGGGUGAUCGGCCACACUGGAACUGAGACACGGUCCAGACUCCUACGGGAGGCAGCAGUAGGGAAUCUUCCGCAAUGGGCGAAAGCCUGACGGAGCAACGCCGCGUGAGUGAUGAAGGUCUUCGGAUCGUAAAACUCUGUUAUUAGGGAAGAACAUAUGUGUAAGUAACUGUGCACAUCUUGACGGCACCUAAUCAGAAAGCCACGGCUAACUACGUG